UGAGGAAUAUUGGGCAAUGCCCGCAAGGGUGACCCAGCAACGCCGCGUGGAGGAUGAAUGUCGUAAGAUUGUAAACUCCUGUUAGAGGGGAAGAAUAGUACCGGUUGGACCGGUAUAUGACUGUACCCUCAGAGAAAGCCCCGGCUAACUACGUGCCAGCAGCCGCGGUAAUACGUAGGGGGCAAGCGUUGUCCGGAUUUACUGGGUGUAAAGGGCGCGCAGGCGGGAUAAAAAGUCAGUGGUGAAAUCCUACAGCUUAACUGUAGAACUGCAUUUGAUACUUGUAUUCUUGAGUUCGGGAGAGAGAGACGGAAUUCCAGGUGUAGUGGUGAAAUACGUAGAUAUCUGGAAGAACACCAGUUGCGAAGGCGGUCUCUUGGUCCGACACUGACGCUGAGGCGCGAAAGCGUGGGGAGCAAA
rnacentral:rRNA from 1 species